rnacentral:rRNA from 1 species
UACGGAGGGUGCAAACGUUGCUCGGAAUCAUUGGGCGUAAAGCGCACGUAGGUGGCUUGUUAAGUCGGGUGUGAAAUCCCUGGGCUCAACCCAGGAAGUGCACUCGAAACUGGCGAGCUUGAGUACUGAAGAGGGUCGCGGAAUUCCCGGUGUAGAGGUGAAAUGCGUAGAUAUCGGGAGGAACACCAGUGGCGAAGGCGGCAUCCUGGCCAUGUCCUGACGCUCAGGGGCGAAAGCGUGGGGAGCAAACCGG